UACGAAGGGGGCUAGCGUUGCUCGGAAUCACUGGGCGUAAAGCGCACGUAGGCGGCUUUUUAAGUCAUGGGUGAAAUCCUGGAGCUCAACUCCAGAACUGCCUUUGAUACUGAGAAGCUUGAGUCCGGGAGAGGUGAGUGGAACUGCGAGUGUAGAGGUGAAAUUCGUAGAUAUUCGCAAGAACACCAGUGGCGAAGGCGGCUCACUGGCCCGGUACUGACGCUGAGGUGCGAAAGCGUGGGGAGCAAACAGG
rnacentral:rRNA from 1 species